UACAGGCCCAGGUGUCACAAAAUAAACUACAGUUUCGGGAGGCCCAGGAGCAAGCAGAACAGGCAUCAGACACAGCUGCAAACUUGGGCAAGGACCUGCAGACAGCCAAGCUACAGUUCUCAGAGCUGCAGUCUGGGAUCAGUGGUCUUGGGGAUGAAGUGAAUGGGGCCAAAGAUCGUUUGCAGCGAAUUCAGACAGAAGCCAAGGAACUGCUGAAGAAAGCAAGCAGGAACCGAAACCGUCUAGAGGGCCUGGAGAAACGUUUUGCUCGGAAUGAGCAGGCACUUGGAGAGAAGGCAGCUGAGCUUCAGGCCCUGGAGAGUAGAGCCUUGGGGCUGCUGGAGCAGCUGAGGCAGGAGGCCAGUGCCCACGCCACCUGCUGAUGCACCCAAGCCCAGCAAAACAAAGACACUCCCAAGAUAGAGUCCCUCCAGGUUCUCCCUCCCACCCCCACCCCCCAAAGAUGCCUCCUGCAGAGGGAUCCCCUCUCUUUACUGCCCCGCAUAGAGGAACCCAGGCCCCCUGCCCCACCGAAGCUCUGUAGCUCCUCCCGCUCCAUCAGUCAGCCCUGCCUCUAAGUGCCCUCCGCUCCCGCUAGUCACUUAAUCUUGCCGGAAAGCUAUGGAACUAUCACUCUCAGUUCUGCCCCUGAACCUCUCCUGCCCCUCCCCAAGUCCCGCCUCUGGAGCCCCCCGGGGGACAGGGCGGGGCGCGCCCUCCCUCGCGCUCCCGCCCUCGCUACGGGCUCGCGCAUUCCGGGACCCUCGCCGCCGGCGCAGAGACUGCGCGCGCCCGGCCCACCACAAAGUCCGGAGCGGAUCAGGCAGCAGCGGACCGCGGACGGAGCCGGGCCCAUCAGCAGGCUCUUCUGAUGCCUCAGCCUGGAUUUCUGUUGUCUCUAGUUUUUGCAUGGUUCUUUCUUCAUUCCGUCCCCAGUAAUCCUGCGUGCUGCACCCAUUCCUCCACUGGGAAACCGAAGAAACCUGUGCUGGUGCAGAAUGGAAAGGAUGGGCCUCUCCUCUCUUUGGAUUCUCAUCCCAGGGAAGAAGGAAAAGAGAACCCUGGCCAGCCUGGGCCUUGAGAUUGAGAAGUGGAUAAUCUGAAGCAUAUGGACACCUACCUCCUCCAACCCCUAGCACUUGGUCAUUUGGGGUCCCCUCAGAAAUCCCCAAGCCUUCCUUGCCCCACCCACACUGAAGAGAAUAGGCAGCCUUUCCUUUAUGGCCUUAUAGCUCUCCCUAGAUAUUCCCUUCUGCUUUAGCACUGAGCCAGGCCUGGACAUAGGAUAUAACUUUGCAAUCUGUUUUACUCAACAUGAAGUAUCUGCUGUGUGCAAAGUUCUGCUGGGCUUUGAGGGAAAUAACAGUGGUUAGGUAAGAUGGUCCAAGGCUGCCUGGAAGAAACCUCAGAUUCACUGCCUUCAUUUUAGAGGAGAAAACUGGGGCCCAGAGGAGUCUCAUAGAACUUGUUAAAGAUCACAUAACUGAUAAAAAUUAAAGUCAAAGUUAGA